CUAUUACAUAUUCUAUACAUCAAAGAUGAAAUUAACAACCCUUCGCUUACCAUCAAAACUACAGGACACUGAUGAUACUGAUGCUAUGAAUAUGCAGAUUAUGAAGACUUAAAUUUUGACUCUUCCAUACUCAACAGAUCUAAAGCCGGGAAAGCUAUUGAUUACUAUAAGCUAUGAUGAAGUUGACAAUUGAGUAGUCUUCCCUAUAGAAAUAUCAAUUCAUAUACUGAUUUCGUCAGAAGACGUUUUACGUUCAUGAGCCGUACCGUCACCGGGCCUGAAAACAGAUGCAAUUCCAGAACAUCGAAACCAAGCAACCUUAAUGUCUACACCACCAGGCUCUUACCACGACCAGUGCUCAGAAAUCUGCAGGUCUAACCACAGCUUUAUGCCAAUUGUUCUU
rnacentral:lncRNA from 1 species